UACGUAGGGUGCAGGCGUUAAUCGGAAUUACUGGGCGUAAAGCGUGCGCAGGCGGUUUCUUAAGUCAGAUGUGAAAGCCCCGGGCUUAACCUGGGAACUGCGUUUGAAACUGGGAGACUCGAGUGUGGCAGAGGGGGGUGGAAUUCCACGUGUAGCAGUGAAAUGCGUAGAUAUGUGGAGGAACACCGAUGGCGAAGGCAACCCCCUGGGUUAACACUGACGCUCAUGCACGAAAGCGUGGGGAGCAAACGGG
rnacentral:rRNA from 1 species